AAACGGGUGAGUAAUACAUAGGAAUCUACCUAACAGUAUGGAAUAACUCUGGGAAACCAUGGCUAAUACCAUAUAUUACCGAUUUAUCGGGAAAGAUUUAUCGCUGUUAGAUGAGCCUGUGUCGGAUUAGCUUGUUGGUGGGGUAAUGGCCUACCAAGGCGAUGAUCCGUAGCUGGUCUGAGAGGAUGAUCAGCCACACUGGGACUGCGACACGGCCCAGACUUC
rnacentral:rRNA from 1 species